rnacentral:rRNA from 1 species
GACGAACGCUGGCGGCGUGCUUAACACAUGCAAGUCGAACGGAAAGGCCCUGCUUUUGUGGGGGGCUCGAGUGGCGAACGGGUGAGUAACACGUGAGUAACCUGCCCUUGACUUUGGGAUAACUUCAGGAAACUGGGGCUAAUACAGGAUAGAAGCUCCUGCUGCAUGGUGGGGGUUGGUAAGUUUCGGCGGUUGGGGAUGGCUUGGCGGCUUAUCAGCUUGUUGGUGGGGUAGUGGCUUACCAAGGCUUUGACGGGUAGCCGGCCUGGGAGGGUGACCGGCGACAUUGGGACUGAGAGACGGCCCAGACUCCUACGGGAGGCAGCAGGGGGGAGUAUUGCAGAAUGGGGGGAAGCGUGAUGAAGCAACGCCGCGUGCGGGAUGACGGCUUUCGGGGUGUAAACCGCUUUCGACUGUGACGAAGCGGGAGUGACGGUAAUGGGUAAAGAAGCAACGGCUAACUACGUG